rnacentral:sRNA from 1 species
ACACUAACUCUUAAGCAAGCAACCGUGA